rnacentral:lncRNA from 1 species
GACUAAUCUUUACAUAAAAAAAACUCUCACAUACUUGUUGUCACUCAAAAAAUAAUUAAUCCCUUGCCUGUCUGAAGCUGAAAACAGUAUUACCUGCAUACUGGGAAUUCAGAGAGUAAGUCAUAGUUUAAAAGAGGUUGCUCCAAAUUGUCUUAUCAACUAAUGCUGCUAUGAAAAAGGGUUACCAAAAGAACAACUGAGGUGACACUGUUUUGUGCAAGAAGAUUUUAUUAACAGACCAGACUUUGAAAAACUGCAGCUGGGCAUCUGAAUCAUUAGUUCAUUCUCCUGAUGAGUCUGUUUAUCUGAUCUUCUCUGUUACCAGCAUCUCCACCCUCCACAAAGUGGAUCGUUUUCUUCUUCAUUCCACCCCGAGGAGAGGAUAACUUGAAGGGCCAAAGGAAGUUGUUCACAACUUUGAAGUUCUUGCCAACAGUAUAAAUUUCAUGGAUCACAUCUUCCAUGCAGAUGAUGCCAAGUUUUCCAAGGCGCUUCCGAAUCAGGGAGUUGUCAGUGAGAGCAAUGCGCUUCUUGUUGAUCUUGCCAUAACCACGCUUGUAGAUCAAAUCAUGCACAGACUUCAGAUUGGGAUAACCCCAUGCAAUAUAGGGCUCAACAAUCCGCAGCAUGUUGAUAGAAGCUUUGUUGAGCUUCACAAAGGUGCCAUUAAAAAUCUGACGCAGGCGAAGAAGCUGUAACACCUUCCGGACCUUGGGGCUCACACCAUUGAUACCUCUUAUCCUGAUGACAAAUGCAAGCUUCGGUUCAGCUGGAACAUAGUAAUUACCGGCUUUCCUGGCCAUCCUGGCCAUGCGGAUCUCCUGUCUGUACAUGUGUCUGUACUCCUUAUGGUAAGCUUUGGCCCUUUCAUAGAUGAUUUUCCUUUGCGCUUUACGAAACUUUUUUUGAGCCAACAGCCUCUUCAAACGUUUGGCUUUUGCGGCUGCAUAAGCCUGUCGCCUCUUCAGGAGGCUUUCCGGGACAGAUGGCACCUUCUUUGCCUCCUUGUCCGCCAUGAUCGGCGCCGGAAGAGAGAGAGCAGGCGCAUGCGCGGGGACAACUCAAGCCGCCUGCCUGCGCGGGCAGGGCCCUGCGCUGCGGAAGGACCCCGCGUUUGGGUGUCCGCGGCGGUGCCGGACCGCGGUGCGGAGCCCGGGGUGGCCCGCGAACGCCUGCGUCGCUUCGGCGUGCGGUGCGUCGCGCGAGCUUUCCGUGCUUCAGCCUUCAGUGCCGCGCUCGACACUGAGGGCACGCGGGGCGCCGCCUCCCGCCGCACAGCACAGCCCUGCGUGGCGCCCCGCAGCGCGCCGGUGUGUGGGAAGUCUCCUCCCGCUGCUCACUGCGAACAUCUCCGCGUGUUCCUAAACCUUAUAUCCCCCCGGUCUCAUCAAAACUAUAACGGGGAAGGUAAAUAACAUCCACCAGCGCCUAUAACACCUAUAAAAUCGGGUGUUAGCGCAGAACCCGUUUUCUCCUCCGGCAGCUGCCGAGCGCCCUCCGCCCUCCUCCGGCGGACCAGCAGCGCGGCGUUCCAGCCGCUGCCUCAAGGUGGCGCUGCAGGGCGCGGGGCGGUGCACGCUGGGACAUGUAGUCGGGGGGCGGGCUCGGCUCGGCCCGGAGUCCGGCCGCGCCGCUCGGGAGGGAGAAGCCGCUGUGGGAGCGCCGCUGCCUGGCGCGGCCGCCGGACCCUCCCCCGGUGGCGGGGCGGGAGAGCGGGGCGAGGAGGGG